GAAGCUGGGAUAGCUUAGGGAAAUAAGAUCGGGAGGGGCUGGAAGAGGAGUUAGAGACGCAGAGAAACAACCCGCGUUUUACUCUUACAACAACCCUGGCUGUCGCAUCGCACUUGCUGACCAGGUCCUCCAUUUCAACACCCUUCAUCUUCCAGAAGCUUGUUGCUUCCCUCAGUUCAGUCUUACCUGUCCUGCAGCCUCACUGCUUGCCUGUUCCCUGUUGCAUCCAUCAAUCGCAUCGGAGAGCUGCUGAUUCUGCCUGCUGGCAGUAUUACUUAGCAUAAUGAAGAAGAGGCAACAGAAUA